rnacentral:rRNA from 1 species
AUUGACGUUACCCGCAGAAGAAGCACCGGCUAACUCCGUGCCAGCAGCCGCGGUAAUACGGAGGGUGCAAGCGUUGUCCGGAAUCAUUGGGCGUAAAGAGUUCGUAGGCGGCAUGUAAAGUCAGGUGUUAAAGGCUGAGGCUCAACCUCAGUAUGGCACUUGAUACUUGCAAGCUAGAAUGCGGUAGAGGUAAAGGGAAUUCCUGGUGUAGCGGUGAAAUGCUUAGAUAUCAGGAGGAACAUCGGUGGCGUAAGCGCUUUACUGGGCCGUAAUUGACGCUGAGGAACGAAAGCCAGGGUAGCAAAUGGGAUUAGAUACCCCAGUAGUCCUGGCCGUAAACGAUGGAUACUAGGUGUUGCGGGUAUCGACCCCUGCAGUGCCGUAGCAAACGCGUUAAGUAUCCCGCCUGGGGAGUACGCACGCAAGUGUGAAACUCAAAGGAAUUGACGGGGACCCGCACAAGCGGUGGAACAUGUGGUUUAAUUCGAAGCAACGCGAAGAACCUUACCAGGGCUUGACAUCUGACGGACAUUCUUGAAAGAGAGUGGUGCUCUUCGGAGAGCGUCAAGACAGGUGGUGCACGGUUGUCGUCAGCUCGUGUCGUGAGAUGUUGGGUUAAGUCCCGCAACGAGCGCAACCCUCGUCGUUAGUUGGUGAUAUUGGUACACUGAUAUCGACCUCUCUAGCGAGACUGCCGGUGAUAAACCGGAGGAAGGUGGGGACGACGUCAAAUCAUCAUGCCCCUUAUGCUCUGGGCUACACACGUGUUACAAUGGUUAGGACAGCGAGCAGCGAACCUGCGAGGGUAAGCAAAUCUCUAAAACCUAGCCUCAGUUCGGAUUGCACUCUGCAACUCGAGUGCAUGAAGUCGGAAUCGCUAGUAAACGCAGAUCAGCACGCUGCGUUGAAUACGUUCCCGGGUCUUGUACACACCGCCCGUCACACCAUGGAAGUCGACCACGCCCGAAGUACGUGAGCUAACCGUAAGGGAGCAGCGUCCUAAGGCAGGGUUGGUGACUGGGGUGAAGUCGUAACAAGGUAGCCGUACCGGAAGGUGCGGCUG